GCCACAUCACAGGUGCCUACUUCCUUCUCUAAAUCCUCUGAAAAGGAUGUCAUAUGAGAGCUAGAGGAUAUUUGCAUGUCUGGCCUUGUUUUCCUGAUUUCAGCUAAGCCGUUACUGUACAAUGAGUGGGCAUAUUGGCAUUCAUUACUCAUAUUUAGCAAACUCUUCUGCACAUGUGCAUUUAAAUGAACGCAUGUGAAGUUUCCA